rnacentral:rRNA from 1 species
GAUGAACGCUGGCGGCGUGCUUAACACAUGCAAGUCGAACGAAGCAUUUAAGACAGAUUACUUCGGUUUGAAGUCUUUUAUGACUGAGUGGCGGACGGGUGAGUAACGCGUGGGUAACCUGCCUCAUACAGGGGGAUAGCAGCUGGAAACGGCUGGUAAUACCGCAUAAGCGCACAGUACCACAUGGUACAGUGUGAAAAACUCCGGUGGUAUGAGAUGGACCCGCGUCUGAUUAGCUUGUUGGCGGGGUAACGGCCCACCAAGGCGACGAUCAGUAGUCGACCUGAGAGGGUGACCGGCCACAUUGGGACUGAGACACGGCCCAGACUCCUACGGGAGGCAGCAGUGGGGAAUAUUGCACAAUGGAGGAAACUCUGAUGCAGCGACGCCGCGUGAGUGAAGAAGUAGUUCGCUAUGUAAAGCUCUAUCAGCAGGGAAGAUAGUGACGGUACCUGACGAAGAAGCUCCGGCUAAAUACGUG